rnacentral:snRNA from 1 species
UGAACAUCUAAGGGACUGAGUUC